UUCCCCGAUUCUCUCUCCCAUCUCACUGGGGAGUGGGGGGUCAAGCAAAUGACUGUAUAUUGCUCAGCCACCUAUUCCGUUAAAUCACAACAGUUAUGUUGGGGAAGGAGGGGAAAAAGGUAAGCAUGUACUUGGUUAAUAAGAGUGUUUACUUCAUAUUCUCAGUGAGUUUUUUCCAUUGAGGAAAACACUGGAGGUUUAGCUGUUCAGACCUUGACAGGUUAUAUCUUCUCUCAGUUGCCAUUUAAUUAGUGGAACUCUAACGAUAUUUUGAUUUGAGAAUCCUUACAAAGAAGAGGUGACGGUGGCAGAGCCUGUCAUCCACAGUGUACUGCCUGUAGUUCUUUCUCUUUUCUGCCUAUCAAGAGCAGAUUCAGUGCUUCAUCGUUCCCCUUGCUGCAUGUUGCUGACCUACAGGGUUUGCUUCAUUUCUGAUGUGAGUCAGUCAGUUAUGGGAUGGAUUUCUGACUACACUGAAAAAUGUUAAAAUGUUUUCCAGUGUUCAUUGGUUGGAUGAGAGAAUGAAGGCUGAAAAGGUGUAAGGUAAUGUUCAGUGCAGAAUUUCACUUGGGUAUUUUAAUUUAAAUACCUCUAUUAAGUGUUUAAUAGAGUUGUACCUUCUAUCCCUGCUGUGCUGGCAUGUAACUGUUUUUCUCCCCAUCCUUACAAUAUGUUCACCUCAUUUUACCAAAUAUAUUUCUUCUUAGGAUUAAUAGUGAUACACUUGAGUUGCUGCAUAUCUCUUGUAGGAAUUAAAAACAUAAUCAGAAAUAUUUUUUGCUUUCAUAAAGGAGUGUGUUUGAAUAGUGAUGCUUAAAAAUGAAAGAAUAAUUUGAAGUCUUCAGGGACAGCUCUGGAAGUGCAAGCACUAUACAAAGUUGAUUACUUGUAGGGGUAAUAUGGAGGUAGACACAAAGAAAGAAUAAAUGUUUCCCCUAACUCCUUGAUGCUGCAACCAGUCAUCUCUCACAAGAAAGAAAACUGAAAAGAAAUUGAGCUUCACUUAAGAAGAGAAAGCUGAAAUAAGACACUGCAUAAAAUCCAACUUGAAGGUAAUAGUGAGGUUUUAUGAAAACUGAAGAGGCAGAUGUUGACAGGAGCAUGUAAUUUCUAGAAAGAAGUUGCAGAGAUCUACUAAGAAAGCCUUACAGUGCCACAGAAGCAUUUGUAGCUUUGCUGUAAGCAAGUGAGAACUAUUCAACUUAGUAUUUUCUGGUAGGUUCAUGCUUUCUCAACGUGGAGUCAAAGUUUCCUUCUGCAGUCAGAAAAAAAGAUUGUCAUGUAUGCCUUGUAAGAAGCAAUAGUUGCUAAAUCAAAGAAAUACUUAGUCUGUCCUCUGUUUCCACUCCAAACAGUAACUUUCCAUAGGGCCCCAAUUAAUAACUGUCUGUCUGACUCAAAUGGAUAUAUACAUUCCUUAAUAUUGGAGCCUCAUCUUAGUAGCUGCUAUUUUCAAGGUUUAUUUUAACUGUUGAAUAACCCUACAUGUGUGUUCACACCCAUAAAGUAUAAAAAAGCAGUUCUCUAUUAAACACAUAAUCUUGGUCCCAUUCUUGUAAGUGUUAAUGAGAGAGGAUGUGUUUCUGUUUGCCAUAAUGGUUAAACUGAGAAACAAGCAUAGAAUUCAGAUAUCUUUCCCAGUAUAUGUAGUUGUGUUCUGGACAGCUACAAGCGGCAGGGUGGCAUAGAGGAUUCUAAGUCAUUUGCUCCUCCUCUGGACUGUGUGUUCAUGUGCAAUGGUGGAAUGCAACAAGGUAGAUUAUAGAAUGGAUUAAGGGGUUAGUUGGUGUUGUAGAGUCUUCUACCUUGCGGUUUAACACAGAAUUUCAAAUACAUAUCCUUAAGGAGAAUAUCUUAACACUCUAAGUUUGAUAAGUCUCAUACUGCUAACCCAGUGGUGUCCCUGGUGUACUGAGAAAUAAGAGCUGCAGGCAAAAGUCCUUUUCUGCCACCAGUAGUGAAGCAAAGGCUUCUCCUUUUCUAAAUAGAAGAUUACUGAGGCAACAUGUAAUAUCGCCUCAUCUCUGCAUUUUAAGCAGCCUGUUAGCAUAGUGUAUGUAUGCAUAAUGAGUAGUGCACGUGAUAGCUAGCAGAGAAAAUGAAGAAAAUAGGCAAUUUGUUUACAGAUAUACAAGUGAUGUUGGCGGUCCAGGAUUUCUGCAGGUAGCCUGCAGUUGUAGGCCUUCUAUUCUGCCUAAAAGUAACCAGUGUUUAUUAUUAUUAUUAUUGUUGUUGUUGUUGUUGUUAUUAUUAUUUGUAUAUCUUUCUGUACCAUUUCAUAGGUCUUUAACCAACUUUUGUAUUUCUUUCUAAAAGUAACAUUUGGACUCUUUAAUAUUUUUACACCUUUGUGGACUAGAAUACAGGUGAUUCUUAAAUUCCCUGUGCAAAAGCAAACUUCUGCAGCUAAUGCUACAGUUCAGGUCUAACUGGUUGGAACUGCUUUAUUUGUACUGAUUCAUAAUAUGCGUUAACAUUUCUGUUCUCCACCUUUAUUUUGCAUCCAUUUGUAACUUACAGCAUUCUUCACAAAUAAGACUAUGCUUUCUUUUGUAAACAGGAACAUCAGUUAAAACUUAACAAUAACUGAAUGCCAUUACACUGUGAAUAAAUUUUAGGCAAAUGGUCUUGCAAAUGUUGACUAACCACAUCAGCUUAUUUUGUUUCACUGUAUUGUUGCAUACGCUGACAACAGAGUUAUAUAGGAAUUAGUCUCUUGCCUUGAGACUCCGCCUAAAUGCUACUUUCUGUUUUUUUGUUUGUUUGUUUGUUUUGAUACAGCAUGAGUCCUGGUAAAUUUGUUCAUUUGCUGUCCCUUUGUUUUUCUGUAUGGAGCUCUGCAUCGUGAUGCCAUUAAAUUUUCAGUGCGGCGCUAAUUCUGCAAAGACGCCAAAAAAUCUUGUCCCCUCCUUCGGGUUUUCAUUGUUCUCCAUGGUGUUCCGUGUGUGUAUAACUCCUUCUAUGGAAUCAAACCUGGAGCUUACCCUUGGAAUUAAUUUAGGCAUUAAAAGUAGAUUUCCCUCUUCUAGAAGGACAACUCAGAAGCAGCCUUUGCAGCUGAUGACAAGUAGCUCUGUAUGUUCCCUGCACAAUCUUGCAGUGUGGUAUCUUACAUACUGUGAGACAUAGUAGGGUAAGCAUAUCACUUCCCGAGUGCAAGCUGCUAUAUAAAUUAGCCAGGAUUUCAGUGUUCUAAAAGUUCUCUCUCUCUGUGUUAUAAAAUGUAAGAAAUAUGGUUAACGAUUUCCUUUGUUAUUUGAAGUUCAUUUUGUGUUUACAGAUUAUUGUAUUCUAUAUGCAAAUGACUCAUUAUACUUUAAUCAAACUAACAUAUUCCUUUUCUAAUUUCUCACCUUAUUUAAAUCUUAUGAACUGUCACCUGCCAUUCAAUCUACAUGCCAGUUAUAACAAAAGAGCAAAUUAAGAAGAGGCAAAGCAUUAAAUUUCUGCUAAUCACAAGGCAGAUACAGCAGGUCUCAGUUUAUGCACACAGACAUUGCUGAGUGUGCUGAAAAUAUGGACCUAUUUUUUCUCCCUUCACAAAGCUCAUUAGAAUAAAUCUUUAGAUUUAAAUAUGUAGCUGAAAGAAUUCAUUCCUGUGUCACAGAAAACAAACUGCUGGAAAUUUACUAUUUUUUUCCUCAGCUUGUGAUCUAGAUUUGACUUCAUAGUCAAAUCAGAAUAGAAACAAGGCAGAAAUAUAUUACAGAAUACCUUGAAAGCAUUUCUCUUUGUGGCUUUUUUGUGUGUGUUUAUUUCUUGUUUUGAUAGGGUUUGCUUUCCUGUGGGCUUUUAAUAACUAUUUCUAAAGCCUGAUGUCUAUUGAGGAAAAAAUAAAUUCCUUCAUGCUUUCAUUACAUAGAAUCAUACCGUACUUCUCUGUUCCCUCUAGCAUCUGGUGGGUAACCUGUCAGUUCUAUUACUGGAAGAAGGCUUCUCCCAGCCAUCGUUAGCCAUCCCUCUUGCUUGGCCAUAAAGCCUCUGCUUGAAACCUAUUGUGUUUAGCUUCUUUUCUGUUUAAGAAGGAAGUUUAAGUGUUAGCCUAGCAUUUUGGGCUUAAAGAUCUAUUCUCAGUUUGCCAUAAUCAUUUGAGAUGGUAAACUGUACUUUACUUAUGACAUAGAUGACUACAAACUUCCUAGAAAUAUUGUGAAGCAUAAUAAUUUUUAGUGUUUUCAAAUGUGUUUACUUCUAAUGCAAGUGAUGUACAAUUGCAGUAUAAUAGUAUUACUAUUAUGAUUUGUUCUUUAUUACUUUGUAGGUUUGCGAAUACAUUUCUUAUGCUAUUAGGCAUCACUAUUCUGUUCUGUUGGUGACAAUUGCAUCCCCAGACGUUUCCCAGGAAGUGCAAUGCGCACACUGAAUUAGCAUUUAAGCAUCAUAUGCACACAAAUGACUAUAUGUUGUGUAUCUACAGUACAUGCUUUGCUCUUUACUUUUUACAUUUCUGACCACAUGGAAAUCUUAGGUGCUGACUGAUUCUAGAUUUAUGAGUGCUUUGUGGGAUAUAUAUAUAUAUUUUUUCCUGGAACAAUUAAAUUUCUGCUUCUACAGAAACUACACGAGACAGGUCACAGUGACCUUGUGUUAAAAGCAGGUUAUGUUUUCUUUGUUAAAUAUGCAUUGAAAAAAUAUAUAUAUAAUAGAAGAGAAUCUAUCCAAUGUGAGAGUAAUGUCUACCUAGAUUAAUAGCUUUGUUAUUAAUGGAUUUAGACUAUAUUAUAUAAUUUAAUUGAUGUUUAUAAAUAGCUUCUUUCCCUGUGGUUAUGAAAUAUAACAUUUACCAAACUUCUUCUUUGAUGGAAUUUACAUAUGGCACAUCAGGAUGAUUAAAAGCCAGCCGUCUUUUCACAGCAUGGCAAGAAAUAGGAUUUGAUUUAUCUUCGUUGCUUGCCUACCACUUGCUGUGACUGUACUUUUGAAAUUUUAAUAUUCUCAUUUCUCAAAAGGAGCUUGUUAUGUAAAAUAUUAUGUAAAUAUCUUUUAUGCUUUGUUUUUUGGCUUUCAAUGUAAAAAGUAGUACUUUUCAUUUGAUAAGCAAAUAAAGCAGCAAGGUGGAAAUGAAAAGUCUACUUAGCCAAGCAGAUUUUUGUCAAAAGAAGCAAAUUUAUAUCUCAAAUUCUGAAAGAAUUUAAGUAUGGUGCAGUGUGAAAGGGACUUGAGUCCCUUUCAUAUGAGCUGUUUAGCAAUUGAUGAAUGAAUGGCUGGAAAAGUGUCACUUCUAGAUUUACAAGUACAGCAUGGUUUUCCAAGUCAAGCUGAACAUAACUGAACACAACUGAACAUAAGCCUGUUGUAUGUUGACAGACACUUUUCUUCUGCCCUCCUUCCUCAUUCUUUCUUCUCACAGCUGCCUCUCUAGUAGCAAAUAGGGUGCAAGGUCCAGGCCUCAGGCUGUGCUGUGAACACCUUUACGGAAUGCAGGUACAACAGCAUCCAUCUGCCACAACAAAAUGCAUUUUGAAAGAGUAGGGACUGUGUAUUUCUGUUGCAUCUGCUCAGCCAUUAGCACUUUCCCUUUUAAUGCUGGCCUUCUUGACACAAGAGAUUUGAUCAAGGUGUUCUUCAAAUUCCAUGCUAAGCUGGGAAAGUCUAGUAUAAACCUGCUGUCUGUCACUUUCUAAUUCAUUUUAAACAAUUAAGCACCUGCUGAUUUGUUGAAGUUACACUAGGAAAUUUACUGUGAUUUUUCUCAUAUUUUCAUCUUAGUCCUCUUUUUUUUUCUGAUGCUCAGUUCAACAUGGCACUUAGUUUGACUGUUCUUCAUCCCCCUCUCUGUGAGGUGGCCUAUGCCUAAUAAACACCUGUUCCUUAGUGAAAUGAACAUGAAGGCAAAUUAAAUAUGAGGAUGAAGAAAACUGAAUAUGAAUCUAAAUACCAAAUUCAAAUAGACUAUUGUCUAAAACUACAUGCAACAAAGUAAAUUAUCCAAUGCCUCUACGGAAGGUUUGAAACAGGAGGUACACAGUGGAUGGUUCACUUGAAAUACAGCCAACACCACAGAUUGCAGAUGGUAGUGAAGGGUGUGUGUAUGUUUGGAAGCAUGAUUUCCCUUGCCAAUUUCUCUACUUUCUACAAAACUUGAAAAGCAUUUAAUGUACAGAGGAGUUAGUAUACCUUGGCCAAAGAAAGUGUAUGUAUAUAGCUUGCUCCAAAAGUAAUGCCUCCUAUUUUUUUGCAUCAAAAACAGAUACAAAGAGCACAGUAACACUAUUUGAUAGAGUAAAUUCUCAGCUACAAAACACUAUUUUUUUUUUUUUUUUUAACACCGUCACCAACAUUGAAGCUUGAUUGAGAGGAUCUUCAUUUUGUGGUGUCACGGCUGUACAUGGCUGUCUGGAAUAUGUCUUCUCUUUCACACUGUUGUCACUGCUGCUGAAAGGCACCACUCACUGACUCACUGUGCUCACACCCGCUGUUUCAUCUCCAGAAACAUUCAGCAAGUGUCAAUGAAUGUCAGUGGUUGCCAUUUUUUCACAUGGUGGAAUUCAGCAGCACACCUUUGCUUUGUACACGCUUUGAGGUCAGACCCCAUUCUGUCAGACUGCCAUCUAUUGUACGGCAAAAAAAAAUGUAAGAGAAUAUCAGUAGGAAGGCCAUAACACCAAUAUCUGCUUCUGAUGUAGUGGGCCCAUGUAAUAAAAUAGGAGGCAUUAUUUAAGAGCAGCUCUCAUCAUUUUGAAAGUUCAAAUGGAUGAUUAAAAAGAAAUUAUGACCUCCAUACUAAACAAUCCCACUUUUUCACAUGAGUAGAAAAUAAUAGGAAGGAAUUUUUAGCAGAGUAUUUCAUACACCUGUCAAUUUUCUUUGCCAAUUUUUGGAAAUGAGUAUGUGAAAAUGAGAUAAUACAAAUUCUAAAUAUAGCAGAUAAAAUAAUUCCAGAAGUGGAGCCCUGCUGGGGUUGCAAAGCUGGUUGAGAUUUUUUUUUUUUUUUUUUCUUGGAAUGCAUUUAGAAUCUUCCCUAUGAGAGGCUGCAUGUCCUUAAAUCCUGUUGGAUCAGAAUAGUAAAAAGGAUUAAAUUUUCUCCAAGGCAGAAUAAAUGACUUCCUGUCUCAAUGAGAAUAAAUGUAUAAAACUAGUGUAAAAUAUAUUUUUCUUGCUCUGUGCAUUGUUAUAAAUUAUAUUUGUUGUGAUGAACAAUAUAUACGAAUACAUUGUAACCACAUUACCAAGACUAAAACUUGUUUUGCUUGCUAUAGGGGAAAAAAAAAGAAAAAAGAAAAAAAAAAAAAAAGGAUUAGGUAAGACUACUUGGGAUUUAGUUUAUAGACUGUAAACUGUGGCAAAUCUCCAUUUAAAUAUUUCUGGAAGGAAGCGUGACACUCUUAAGUUUCAAAUUCAGAAGUUUCUUACUUGCUAGCUGGUCUACAAUAGCAGACUUGUGCUACUUCCAAAACACUGUUAAGUAACAGGCUGCUUCUGCAAAAAAAAAACUUGAGUAUAAAAGGUCUCCUAUUUUUAACAUGGCAAUUUCAGACAGCUUGACACUUUUUUUUCUUUCACAUAGUUUCAAUUAUAAGUUGGUAACUAACCAAGAAAAUGUAAAAUAUGCUACUGAAAUAAUUAAUUUAUUAUUUGUGUAAUGAGAAAUUCUAUCAGACAGGUGUCAUUUGAAUGUAUUUCUGAAUCCAUUUAAGGCUGAUCUUCCACAGUGCUAAGAGAAUAUUUUAACAAAGAAAAUAUAUAUUUUUUCUUUGUCUCCAGUGUAGUUUCAUAAGAAGAUUUUUAGGAUGCUGAGCUGCAGAACAUAAAAUUUCUGUGCUGGUACUAAUAUUUGCUAAUAUUAAUAUUUAUGCUGUGAUAAAUACCUUCUUAUUCCAAUCUUACUUUCUUUUUUUUUUUUUUUUUUUUUUUUGUAAAACACAAAAAACAGCUUAUCUUUGUCCUGCAGAACAGUGUGUAAUUUUUAUUUACCAUUACUGAGGCAUGCUGUAAUUAUGCUUGUGAAGAUUAAGACAAUGGUGAAAAAUUAGGGGUCUUUUCAUUACAUGUGCCAGGUAUGGCACAAACUGUGCAGCCAUGCUUGUGUUGUUCCAAUGCUGAUCUCAGACAUGCCUUUUUGUAACAGAAUUUCAGUGCCUGCUUGCCCAGUCUUCUACUGAGCAGAACCUGGUGAUGCAGUUAGUCAGGUAAUUUGUGCUUUAGCACAUAGAAAACAAUAAAGCUUGUAUGUGGUCUCAUGAUGGCAAGAAUAGUAAUAAACAGAUGGCUUCAGUUUAUCCCUACAGUGAGUACCCAAUGAGCAGAAAUGAGUUACACUGUGCAUUGUACUCAUAAAUCUGAUUCACUGCACUUUUUCAAGAUGUGAUUAGAUUCGGAAUAAUGGUACAAAAAUCUGUACAAGCAAAGCUUACAACAAAUAUGCAAAUUUUGUUUAAUUUUAAAUUUGUUCAACUACUCUUAGAUAGGUGCAGUGUUUCUCAGAACAUCUGUGUCAUGCUAAUAUUGAUCAUAGAUGGCAUGGAUCUGUGGUUGUUGACAGCUAUUCUGACACCUGAAUGUAUUUGUUGUAUGUAACAGAUUUUUUUUUUUCCCCCAUGGAAUUUCAUUGGGACUGAAGUAUUCAUUGUUCUCACCUUACACAUCCUUGAUUUGUUGUGAAGCAUCUAGAAAAUACGAAGCUGUUUUAGCCUAUGGCUUUGCUUUAGGGCAGAUGCAAGCCAAAGAAGCUAAUGCUGUAAGAAAAUACAUAGCAGAGGGCUUUAUAGAGAUUAAAUGAUCAUUUAGUGUGUGGGUGGGCAGUAGAACUCCUGCAGUUCUCAUCUGUGUAAUAAUAGAAUUGUUGAAAAGGUAGAGGAAUAAGAAACUUAGCUUGCUUUUGGAAACACUGAGAUAUUGUUAGGGUUGCUAACACCUGUUGCAUCUAAGUCAAGGUUAUCUCCACCGAUUUGUUGCUUACGAGUUUUGCAUUGCAGUUUUAGCCCUUUAUGCAUUCCAG
rnacentral:lncRNA from 1 species